rnacentral:rRNA from 1 species
AGUGCCGCAGAUAACGCAUUAAGUAUUCCACCUGGGGAGUACGAUCGCAAGGUUGAAACUCAAAGGAAUUGACGGGGGCCCGCACAAGCAGUGGAGCAUGUGGUUUAAUUCGAUGCAACGCGAAGAACCUUACUUAGGCUUGAAAGGCAAGCGACCGGGUAUGAAAGUACCCUUCCAGCAAUGGCGCUUGUACAGGUGCUGCAUGGCUGUCGUCAGCUCGUGCCGUGAGGUGUUGGGUUAAGUCUCGCAACGAGCGCAACCCCUACCAUUAGUUGCCAUCAGGUUAUGCUGGGCACUCUAAUGGGACUGCCUACGCAAGUAGUGAGGAAGGUGGGGAUGACGUCAAGUCAGCAUGGCCCUUACGUCUAGGGCUACACACGUGCUACAAUGGGUGUUACAACGGGUAGCCAAACCGCAAGGUGGAGCCAAUCCGUAAAAAGCACCCUCAGUUCGGAUUGGAGUCUGCAACCCGACUCCAUAAGGUGGAAUUGGUAGUAAUCGGUAUCAGCACGCAGCGGUAAACGUGCGGG